rnacentral:rRNA from 1 species
UUCCGGGGAAAGGUAUUGCCUGUCCCACUGAUUAAUAUUUAAAGGGCCGCGGUAUUUUGACCGUGCAAAGGUAGCAUAAUCAUUAGUUUUUUAAUUGAAGACUGGAAUGAAUGGUUGAAUGAGAUAUAUGUUGUGUCAUAAAAUUUAAAUUUAAAAUUUAUAUUUUAGUUAAAAAGCUAAAAUGAUUUUUAAAGACGAGAAGACCCUAUAAAUCUUUAUAUUUAAAUUAAUUUAAUUUAUAUAGAAUAUAAAUUUAUUAAAUUAAAUUUAGUUUAAAUAUUUUAUUGGGGUGAUAUUAAAAUUUAUUUAACUUUUAAAUUAUUUAUUCAAAUUUAUUUGUAAUAAAAUUGAUCCAAUAUUAUUGAUUAAAAAUUUAAGUUACUUUAGGGAUAACAGCGUAAUUUUUUUGGAGAGUUCAAAUCGAUAAAAAAGAUUGCGACCUCGAUGUUGGACUAAGAUUUAAUUUAGGUGCAGAAGCUUAAAUUUAGAGUCUGUUCGACUUUUAUAUCUUACGUGAUCUGAGUCAAAACCGGGAGAAAUAACGCCUGUUUAAUCAAAAACAUGAUUCUGAAUCCAACCCCAAAGACAAACAUACA